UACAGGGGGUGCAAACGUUGCUCGGAAUCAUUGGGCGUAAAGCGCACGUAGGCGGUUUGUUAUGUCGGAUGUGAAAGCCCUUGGCUCAACUGAGGAAGUGCAUCCGAAACUGGCAAGCUAGAGUACUAAAGAGGGUCGCGGAAUUCCCGGUGUAGAGGUGAAAUUCGUAGAUAUUCGCAGGAACACCAGUGGCGAAGGCGGCUUACUGGUCCAUUACUGACGCUGAGGUGCGAAAGCGUGGGGAGCAAACAGG
rnacentral:rRNA from 1 species